UACAGAGGGGGCAAGCGUUGUUCGGAAUUACUGGGCGUAAAGGGCGCGUAGGCGGCCUGUUAAGUCGAACGUGAAAUCCCCGGGCUCAACCCGGGAACUGCGUCCGAUACUGGCAGGCUUGAAUCCGGGAGAGGGACGCGGAAUUCCAGGUGUAGCGGUGAAAUGCGUAGAUAUCUGGAGGAACACCGGUGGCGAAGGCGGCAUCCUGGACCGGCAUUGCCGCUGAGGCGCGAAAGCCAGGGGAGCAAACGGG
rnacentral:rRNA from 1 species